rnacentral:misc_RNA from 1 species
ACAAGAUCAGCACUCUCAGCCUGCAAUGUAUAAAAUAACUCUGGUUAGUAUAUGGAAAGGAUUUUCCAUCCAUAACUUCUUUCCUGCUAAAUAGCCAACAUGCUUAAAUAAGUUCUAUUAGGGGAAAAAGGAAGGAUAUAAAAAGGAGUUGCAAGUUUUAAGUUCCCAUUUGACAGAGUUAGACAAUCUCCAUUCUUACAGAUUCAAGCAAAGAUGAUGUG